rnacentral:rRNA from 1 species
UACGUAGGGUGCGAGCGUUAAUCGGAAUUACUGGGCGUAAAGCGUGCGCGGGCGGUUUUGUAAGCCAGAUGUGAAAUCCCCGGGCUUAACCUGGGAAUGGCAUUUGGGACUGCAAGGCUUGAGUGCGGCAGAGGAGACUGGAAUUCCCGGUGUAGCAGUGAAAUGCGUAGAUAUCGGGAGGAAUACCGAUGGCGUAGGCAGGUCUCUGGGCUGACACUGACGCUCAUGCACGAAAGCGUGGGGAGCAAACAGG